GGAGGGUGCAAGCGUUAUCCGGAUUCACUGGGUUUAAAGGGUGCGUAGGCGGAUAGGGAAGUCCGUGGUGAAAUCCUGCAGCUUAACUGCAGAACUGCCGUGGAUACUCUCUAUCUUGAAUAUCGUGGAGGUUAGCGGAAUAUGUCAUGUAGCGGUGAAAUGCUUAGAUAUGACAUAGAACACCCAUUGCGAAGGCAGCUAACUACGCGAUCAUUGACGCUGAUGCACGAAAGCGUGGGGAUCAAACAGGAUUAGAUACCCUGGUAGUCCACGCCCUAAACGAUGAUUACUCGACAUUGGUGAUACACAGUCAGUGUCUGAGCGAAAGCAUUAAGUAAUCCACCUGGGAAGUACGAUCGCA
rnacentral:rRNA from 1 species